rnacentral:rRNA from 1 species
GAUCAUGGCUCAGGAUGAACGCUAGCUACAGGCUUAACACAUGCAAGUCGAGGGGCAGCAUGGUCUUAGCUUGCUAAGGCCGAUGGCGACCGGCGCACGGGUGAGUAACACGUAUCCAACCUGCCGUCUACUCCUGGACAGCCUUCUGAAGGAAGAUUAUUACAAGAUGGCAUCAUGAGUUCACAUGUUCACAUGAUUAAAGGUAUUCCGGUAGACGAUGGGG